UUAAGCAUAUCAAUAAGCGGAGGAAAAGAAACCAACAGGGAUUGCCUCAGUAACGGCGAGUGAAGCGGCAUAAGCUCAAAUUUGAAAUCUGGCUCUUUCAGAGUCCGAGUUGUAAUUUGUAGAAGAUGUUUCGGGUGUGGCUCCGGUUUAAGUUCCUUGGAACAGGACGUCAUAGAGGGUGAGAAUCCCGUAUGUGACCGGUUGCCUUCGCUCAUGUGAAACUCUUUCGACGAGUCGAGUUGUUUGGGAAUGCAGCUCAAAAUGGGUGGUAAAUUUCAUCUAAAGCUAAAUAUUGGCCAGAGACCGAUAGCGCACAAGUAGAGUGAUCGAAAGAUGAAAAGCACUUUGGAAAGAGAGUUAAACAGUACGUGAAAUUGUUGAAAGGGAAGCGCUUGCAAUCAGACUUGCGCCUAGUUGAUCAUCUGGGCUUCUGUCCAGUGCACUCGAUUAGGCUCAGGCCAGCAUCAGUUUGGGUGGUUGGAUAAAGGCUUAGGGAAUGUGGCCCCUUUCGGGGGGUGUUAUAGCCCUAGGUGCAAUGCAGCCUACCUGGACUGAGGACCGCGCUUCGGCUAGGAUGCUGGCGUAAUGGUUGUAAGCGACCCGUCUUGAAACACGGACCAAGGAGUCUAACAUUUAUGCGAGUAUUUGGGUGUUAAACCCAUAUGCGUAAUGAAAGUGAACGGAGGUAAGAACCCUUAAGGGUGCAUUAUCGACCGAUCCUGAUGUCUUCGGAUGGAUUUGAGUAAGAGCAUAACUGUUGGGACCCGAAAGAUGGUGAUCUAUACGUGAAUAGGGUGAAGCCAGAGGAAACUCUGGUGGAGGCUCGCAGCGGUUCUGACGUGCAAAUC
rnacentral:rRNA from 1 species